GAAGGUGUAUCUAGAAAGACAAAUUAGAGCUUGAAAAAUAAAGCAUUUCAUUUACAUUGAAAAGUAUAUUGUGUAAUUCAAUUUAAUUUGAUAAUAAAAAUUUAUUAAUUUUUUUUGGUUUUAAAUUUAUUUAAUAAAAUUAAUUUUAAGUAAAGUUUUUUUUUGUAUAGUAUAUAGAUCAAAUAAUUUAUAUAAUAGUUAAUUAGUAUUGUAAAAGAAUAUUGAAAUACAUGAAAAAAUUUUAAAUUAAAAGUAAAUUUUAUAUAUUGUACCUUGUGUAUCAGGGUUUAUUAAUUAAAAGUUAAAAAUUUAAUUUUUCUCGAAUUUAAGAGGGUUAAUUUAUUACUUAAUUUUUUGUUUCAUAAAAAUUUAAAAUAAUAAGUUAGAAAUGAAAUGUUAUUCGUUCUUUAAUAUAUCUAGUUUUUUAAGAAAUAAAUUAAAUUUAGAUUAUUAAUAAAUAAUUAUUUAUUUAAAUAAUGAGUUAUUAUUAAUAAUUAAUAUUUUAAGGGAUAAGCUUUAAAGUAAGUUUUAUAAUGAUUUUUUAAUUUAAAAAUUAUAGGUUUAGAAAUAGUCAUUAAUUAUAAAAAUGUUAUAAUUUAUUUUAAAUUAAAAAUAAUUUUUAUUGAUUUAAAUUUUUAUUAAAAUAAUUUUUAAAAUUAUAUAAGAAUUAAAAUAAUGAUAAAAUUAGUAUAUUUAAUUGUUUAAAAUAAAUAAAUUAAAAGGUUAAAUUAAGGAAUUUGGCAAAUAAAUACUCGCCUGUUUAACAAAAACAUGUCUUUUUGAAUAUAAUUUAAAGUCUAAUCUGCCCACUGAAAAAUUUUAAAGGGCCGCGGUAUU
rnacentral:rRNA from 1 species